AGAGUUUGAUCCUGGCUCAGGACGAACGCUGGCGGCGUGCUUAACACAUGCAAGUCGAACGAACCUAGCAAUAGGUUAGUGGCGCACGGGUGCGUAACGCGUAAGAAACCUGCCUCAAAGCCGGGGAUACCCAGUCGAAAGACUGGUUAAUACCGGAUAUUAUUAUGAGACUGCAUAGUUUUAUAAUGAAAGACUUCGGUCGCUUUGAGAUGGUCUUGCGUCUGAUUAGGUAGUUGGUAGGGUAACGGCCUACCAAGCCAACGAUCAGUAGCUGGUCUGAGAGGAUGAUCAGCCACACUGGGACUGAGACACGGUCCAGACUCCUACGGGAGGCAGCAGUGAGGAAUAUUGCGCAAUGGACGAAAGUCUGACGCAGCAACGCCGCGUGUGGGAUGAAGGCCCUCUGGGUCGUAAACCACUGUUGGGAGGGAAGAACGUUCCGGGCAAGGCCUGGAAGUGACGGUACCUCCAUAGAAAGCCCCGGCUAACUACGUGCCAGCAGCCGCGGUAAUACGUAGGGGGCAAGCGUUGUCCGGAUUUACUGGGUGUAAAGGGCGUGUAGGCGGACCGUUAAGUCAGAGGUGAAAGCUCACAGCUCAACUGUGAAAUUGCCUUUGAUACUGGCGGUCUUGAGUACGAAAGAGGAAUAUGGAAUUCCUGGUGUAGCGGUGAAAUGCGUAGAUAUCAGGAGGAACACCGGUGGCGAAGGCGGUCUUCUGGUUCGUAACUGACGCUGAGGCGCGAAAGCAUGGGGAUCAAACAGGAUUAGAUACCCUGGUAGUCCAUGCCGUAAACUAUGAGUGCUAGUUGUUAGCCCGGCUUGAGCUGGGUUAGUGACGCAGCUAACGCAUUAAGCACUCCACCUGGGGAGUACGAUCGCAAGGUUGAAACUCAAAGGAAUUGACGGGGGCCCGCACAAGCGGUGGAGCAUGUGGAUUAAUUCGAUGCAACGCGAAGAACCUUACCUGGGCUCGAAGUGUACCGGACAUCCUGUGAAAGCAGGCCUUCUAGCAAUAGACCGGUGCAUAGGUGCUGCAUGGCUGUCGUCAGCUCGUGUCGUGAGAUGUUGGGUUAAGUCCCGCAACGAGCGCAACCCCUAUCUUUAGUUGCUACCGGGUCAUGCCGGGCACUCUAAAGAGACUGCCUACGCAAGUAGAGAGGAAGGCGGGGAUGACGUCAAGUCCUCAUGGCCCUUACGUCCAGGGCUUCACACGUGCUACAAUGGUGACUACAAAGGGUCGCAAAACCGCGAGGUCAAGCCAAUCCCAAGAAAGUCAUCUCAGUUCGGAUUGGAGUCUGCAACCCGACUCCAUGAAGCUGGAAUCGCUAGUAAUCGUGGAUCAGCACGCCACGGUGAAUACGUUCCCGGGCCUUGUACACACCGCCCGUCAAGCCAUGGAAGUUGCUAGCACCCAAAGCCGGUAUCCUAACCGCAAGGAGGGAGCCGUCUAAGGUGAGAGCAGUGACUGGGGCUAAGUCGAAACAAGGUA
rnacentral:rRNA from 1 species